rnacentral:lncRNA from 1 species
CUCUCGUGCAGUAAGUAGUUAAAUAUCAAUUUACCAUAGGCUAAACCCCAAAAACUUCCCCCACCAAGACCAAGGCUGUUUUGCCUUGCGAAAGUCACUAAUCUUGAGGAUGCCCUCAAUGUGUUGGACGAAAUGUUUCAAACGCGUCCUCUGCCUUCCGUUGUCCGCUUCAAUCAAUUAUUGGGUCAAGUUGCGAAGCUGAAACAUUAUUCUGCAGUCAUCUCUUUGAAUAACCAGAUGGGUUUCUGGUUCGUCCUGGUAUUUAUAUUUUAAACAUCAUCAUUAAUUGUUGUUUUCACGACCUUCAACACUCUCUAUCUGCGGCUUUCUUCUUGAGGAUGGAGUGGCCGAGGCAGCAACAUUUUUUAAUAAAAUGUUGGAGAGUAGUAACUGCAAGCUGGUUGUGAUUACUUUCGGCACCGUAGUAAAGGGACUCUGCAUGAAAGGUAACAAUCAAUUGCUUAAGAAGAUGGAAGAGGGAACUAGCAUACCUAACCUAAUUAUUUAUAGCUCGAUCAUUGAUAGUCUUUGUAAGGAUACUUUAAUUAUUUAUAGCUCGAUCAUAAAUGAUGAGAAAGGGUAUUGCUCCUCCCAAAGUCAUUACCUAUACCUCUUUGAUUCACGGAGUUUGCAAAUAAGGGGAGUGGAAAGAAUCUACAGGAUUGUUGAAUGAAAUGGUGAGCAAAAGUACCUCUCCAAAUGUGCUUACUUUCAUUAUUCUGGUUGACAACCUUUGGAAGGAGGGGUUGGUCAAGGAAGAAAAAAAGUGGUCAAAAUGAUUACUCGAAGAGAUAUUGAACUCGAUAUAGUUACUUACCAUACACUUAGGCUAUCUUCAACCCAACAUUAUAAUUUGUUAAACUUUUGUACUUUUGUACUAAUAAUUUUGGAUUUUGGAUUUUUUAUUUUAUUUUUAAUCAUCUAUCUUGUUUAAUUUUAGGAACAUUUUGAUGUAAAAAAAAAAAAAAUCAAAUUUUGAAUAAAAAGUGUGGAGAUAUUUUUAGUUGGAUGGGUAUUUUGAAGGAAAUUUUAUUUGAACCCAUAUAAUCUCUUUCUACACUCAACUUACUCUUUUCACCCAUAUUAACUUUAAUUAAACCAUCAAUAUCUCUUUAAACCAUAUUUACUACCUAAAUUACCUCACAAACCAAAUUCAAUUGGUAGAUUUAUCCGUACACUCAUUUAGAAAUAAAAACCCAAAAUUUGCAAAGAGAAGUCCAUUUCAAGUUAGGAUUACGAAAAAGUGGACAAAUUCUUAAUCCAAACAAUAUGAUCGUCCUUGCAAUCAUAUUGCAAAAGAGCUUGUCGCACUAGUUUAGGGGGUUUUUUGUUUGUUUCAAAUGGUCUGAAUUUGAAUUAUAAAUGCUAUUGUUUCUUUAUUCUUAUUUUUCUUCCCGCUUUGGUUUAAGUUGAAGUCCUCUCUUUGGUUGUGACCAGUGGCGAAACUACGUGAGAGCGAGGAGUGGAGCUCUGGUUUAGCCCCUUCGAACCGGAGAGGAGAUCUUGGAGGAGGAGACGAGGUGGGGUCGGCGAGAAGAGGUUGGAAAAGAAGACGAGAGUGGGGUUGUACGACGACAGAGGUUGGAGGAGGUGAGAGUUGGUCAGCCAUGUCUGGUGGGGUUUAUGGGAGGAAGAAAAUUGUUGUUUGGUUAUCAGGUUAUAGGAGCUAGUAGGAUGUUUGGUUAUCAAAAUAGCAGGAGCUUAGAGCAAUCAAAUGAACAGGUGUAACAUUUCUAUUGAGCUAUAUAAUGAUUAGUAAAAAUUGUUUACUGACCUAUCAGUAGGCAAGAAUUAUCCGUUUGGUUAUCAGGAUAACAAGAAUUUGGGUGUGAGUUUUAAAGACAGGUGCUGGACAAUUAUUGGGCCACCUAAUUCAGUAAAAAUUGGGUACUGACACCUUACCCCAGUAUUAUCAUGUUGACCGUUUGUUUACUUUUUUUUUUCUCUUAAAAUACUGUGAUGAGUUUGCUGACCACCACUUCUCUUUUGGUCUUUAUCUUUCUGCCCCACUUGUUUGUUUACCCAUCCCAUCCCUUUUUUUUUUCUUCUCUUCUGACCCCACCUUUUUCUGUGGUUUAUUAACCCAUUUCUCUCUGUUUUUUAUUAUUUUAUUAUUUUUUAUUCUUGUAUGUAUUUUUAUUUUAUCUUUUAAGACUCCCACCGUAUUUAUCUUAAACUCUCACAUUAUUUAUAAAUAUUGUAUUACUUUAUAAAAACAAUGUAAAUAUUGUUUAAUGCUUAUUUUAUGAUAAUUUAAAUCCAUCUAGGCUCCUAACUAGAUCUUGCCUAGACACCUAGCUACUAGGUUUCGGUCCACUGUUUGAUUAGCGCCUAACAUUUUUUAGGAUCUAAUCCUAUCCAAUUUAAGCUUCUUACAGUGGCUUUGAUAUUAUUUCUUAUAACUACUUUGGUGGAGAGAUUAUUUUUCAGUAUGAAUAUUGAUUCAAAACUUUACACUAUCUAAUAUGAAAGCAAUCGUUUCGAUUGAACCAUACACUUAGGCUAUCUCUCCACGCUACUGCAUCUAAUGCGCGAAGCCCACCUUUGUCUAGUCUGCACGUUCAGGUGCUGCAAGCUGAGGCCCUCGGCCCAAUUCCUUCCCUCAUCCAUCCGGUGCGGGGGAAUAGCAGACCCAAAUUCCCACCCCCAAACCUAAGGUUCCAUUUUCUCACCCCCAAGAUACAGUCCUCGGAGAUGUAUUUUUUGUUUUUUUCAACCCCUCCGAGACAGAGGCAGAUUCUCUGCAUUUCCACUCUGUCAUCUCAUUUCCCCUCCCAUUUCCCAUACUCUUCUAUUUUGUAUAAUCAAAAUUAAGCCACUUCAAUAUUUUGGCAGGAGUCUGCCUCCCUCGGAGACAGCCUUACGUAUGGUUACUGUUUGAUAAUCGUUGCUCAGUCGGUCCGAUCUGAAGAAGAUGAUGCGGUGGGCAACAACUGCUGCUUGUUACGGCAGCCGCAGACUCAGAGCCAGAGGUAUGCCGCCUUCUCUUCACUCUUCUGUUGUUGUUUUCGUAAACAAUUACUUGGGUUUGUUUCAUUCUCGAGCUUCUCAAUCAACCGAAUCCAGAAGCACCCAACCACCCCAGUUUGCGAAAGUCACUAAUCUUGAGAAUGCCCUCAGUGUGUUCGACGAAAUGCUUCAAAGGCGUCCUCUGCCUUCCUUUGUCCGCUUCACUCAACUAUUGGGUCAAGUUGUGAGAUUGAAACAUUAUUCCACGGUCAUCUCGUUGAAUAACCAAAUGGGUGUGUCAGGAAUUCGUCCUGGUGUUUAUACUCUGAACAUUAUCAUCAAUUGCUAUUGUCAUCUCAACCAAAUGGGGUUUGGUUUGUCUGUCUUGUGAAAAUUCUUCAAAUUGGGUUUUGAACCCGAUGUCAAGACCUUAAACACUCUAAUCAAUGGCUUUCUUCUUGAGGAUAGAGAGGCUGAUGCUGUCGGGAUUCUGAAUAAAAUGAUGGAGAGUGGUAACUGGAAGCCCACUGUGGUUACUUUUGGCAUACUAGUCAAGGGACUUUGCAUGAAAGGUAACUACAUUGGAGCUAUCCAAUUGCUUAAGAAGAUGGAAGAAGGGGGGUGCAAGCCUGACGUAGUUAUUUAUAGCACGAUCAUUCACAGUCUUUGCAAGGAUACUUUAAUUGUUGAUGCAUUGAACCUCUUCUCCGAAAUGACAAGUAAAGGAAUUGCUCAAGAUGUCAUUACUUAUAACUGUUUGAUUCAUGGAGUUUGCAAAUUAGGGGAGUGGAAAGAAUCUAUAAGAUUGUUGAAUGAAAUGGUGAGUAAAGGUAUAUUUCCAAAUGUGCGCACCUUCAAUGUUUUGAUUGAUACAGUUUGUAAAGAGGGAAUGAUCCAAAAAGCAAGGAGCGUGGUCGAAAUGAUGAUUCAAAGAGAUAUUGAACCUGAUACAGUUACUUAACGUACACUUAUGGACGGUUACUGUUUGCUCGGAGAAAUGGGUCAGGCGAAAAAAGUUUUUGAACUAAUGCUUAGCAAAGGAUCCAUGAUUGAUGUUCGUAGCUAUAACAUAUUGAUAAAUGGUUAUUAGCCACAGCUCGUAUUCAUUCAGUAAUUCUACCCCUUCUUCAUUCUUGGACCUCGUUUCUUAAUAUUGUGACUCUUCCAUGCUGUGUCUCAGGAACCUUUUCAAUACGGUCCGGAUUGCUAGCUUCCGUUGUAAGCAUAAAAUGAUUGAUGACGCCCGAAUGCUUUUUCUGGAAAUGUCUUGUAGGGGAGUGGUUCCAAAUACAAUUACUUAUAACACUCUUAUGGAUGGGUUUUGCAAGAUGGGGAGAACACAAGAUGCAGAGACUUUGUUCUCUCAAAUGCAAGCUUGUGGCCAACUUCCAAAUGUUCGAACUUAUAAUAUUACUCGAUGGCCUGUUUGAAAACCAACAAUUUCCCAAAGCAGUGCAAUUGCUAAACGAGAUGGAGGGAAAAAAGUUGAACUUUGAUAUCAUAACGUAUGGUAUUCUCAUUAAAGGUUUGUGCAAAGAUGGAAAAGUUGAAUAUGCAUGGGAAGUCUUUCGCAGUUCAUCAUCAAAAGGAUUUCAGCAUAAUGCUAGGACAUAUACUAUAAUGAUUAGUGGAUUUUGUAACGCGGGGCUAACAAGUGAAGCAGAAAACUUGCUUAGGAAAAUGAAAAGGAAAGGUUGUUCUCCAAAUGGUUGCACGUACAACACAAUUAUUCGCGGGUUUAUCAAUAACUGCAAAACAUCAAGGGCAAUGAGACUUAUUAAAGAAAUGGUGGAAAGGGGUUUUUCUGCAGAUGCAUGGACUACAGAAUUGAUAGUUGAAACAGAUCCCACUUUGUUGGCAUUGAUAGAAAGAGCAGUGUGAAGUUCAUUUGUAUUUUUGAUAGCCGAAACAGAUCCUUAUGACCAUCACAAUGCAGUUUGGAACUGUUGCACUUUUGACAACUUUCGGUGGUUCCUUCCCUCGAAUGCUGCAUUGGAGCAAGUUCUUCCACUGACAAGUCCAGUUCAGGUAGCCAUUCGUCAUGCUCCGCUAGUGAUGUAUGAUAUGUGUUAUUUAUUUAAUCUAUCAAAUGACAGAGCAACUUUUAUGUUACUCUUUUAAGAGUGAUAUCUGUUGGAGAAGCAAAGUAUUUGGACUGAUAUGAUCAGAUGAAAUGCAAUACUGGAUUUAUGGCUUGGUUUAAUUUCUGUUUAAUUUAGCUCUUAUUGUUUGUUUUUGGUAAUAAAUAUGAAUCUGAUGGAAGAAGCAAUGGAGGAAAUGAUAGCUAUAGGAGGAGGACUCGAUCCAUUUCUCAAAAUUCUGCAGUUCCUCUAACACCCAAUUGAAAAGGUCAAGUUUACCACACUAAAACUAAAGUUCAAACAAACUUCAAUACAAAAUGCCUUAUGAGAUUAGUAAUACAACCUGAAAAAAUAUAUGGUUCAUGCAAUUCAACAAAAAGGUUUUGGUGCUUCAACUUUUAAGUCAAUAUUUUGCAUCGUUCAACCCUUUCUCUUUCCCUUUCCUUUUGAACACUUACUCUUCGAAGGUUAAGAGGCAUUUGAACUUGUGAACGAGCUUGAGAAGAUGAUACUUGGGAAGACCUUGGACCUUAUGAAAUUGAAUUUGAUGGAUGAGGAGUCACUGAACCUUGUGAACUAGAAGCUUGAGAUGCCUUGGAGCUUGUUGAUGUGGUUAUGGGUUAAGAGUAAGAGAUGCGAUACUUGAAUUCAAAAUGGCCACCUCUACAUAAUACAAAUACAUAAGCAAUAUAAAUUACAUUAGUUAUUAUAAACUUUAAAAGGCCUACAAAAGCAAUAAAACACAUUGAAAUAACAAAACAAAGAAAACCUACAAUAUAAAUUACCUAAUAAUGGUAUUAAAUUAAAUAUGUAUUUAAUUUUUGUUGUAUGGUUCAGUCUCGGUGAGGAUUUAGAUGGUCAAAACCGAAACAAAAUCGUUUUUCAUAUGACUGUUCACACAUCCAUUUUUAUCUCUACACAUCAUUGUUGAUUUUUGUUAAUUGAUCUUUCUCAAUCAAUCGAUUUGACGAUCGAAAAUUGAGAGGAGUGUGAACAUACCACCUUUUCAUAUUGCCGUUUAGUUUUAAACCAAAAUCGUUUCAAAAUUGCAAAAACAGAAUUGUCCAGUGCGGUUCAAUUUAAUUUGUGUUUCGGUUUCAGCUUUUAGUUCUAAGUGCCCAGCCCUUACUCUAAACUGGCAGACGACUAAUAGACUCCUUCCAUAUAAUAAUCAAGUCAUUGAAAAAAACGUGCAAUCAAGAACUCAAAUCAGAAUUCUCUUUAAGUUUUGAAUCUCAAUAUUUCCUCUCUCGCAGCAAAUGCAUUCGAUAUAAUUGCACUAUGUUUUUCUGAUGCACUGUGCGACUGUUUGUGUGUGUUGUAGCUCUGAGAAGGCUUGGGGUGAAGGGCGUGGAGAUAAGGAAGCCAGAGCAGCUUGAAACCGUGGCCUCCCUUAUAAUCCCUGGAGGGGAGAGCACCACCAUGGCUAAGCUCGCUGAGUACCACAACCUGGUCUCUCUCUCUCUCUCUCUCUCAGCUUCUGGGUUUGUUUUGAUUUGUUCCUUUGUUUGAUAUUGGUUUAUUUUGUUGACAGUUUCCUGCUCUGCGUGAGUUUGUUAAAAUGGGGAAGCCUGUUUGGGGGACUUGUGCAGGUCUUAUUUUCUUAGCAAACAAAGCUACAGGCACGUUCAUGUUCCUUCUUUCUUUCGUUGCUGUUAUGAAUCCUUUAAGUUAUUGAUAUGUUCAAUUGUUUUUAUAAAUGUGAUGAGAGGAGUGGCAUGAUUUUCACUUUUCAGGACAGAAAAUAGGAGGACAGGAACUUGUUGGCGGCCUAGAUUGCACCGUCCACAGAAACUUCUUUGGCAGUCAGGUAAUGCACUCACUUCUCUAUUCUCAAGUUCACGUGAUUUCGAUAUUCAAUGUGGUAAUUGUUUUGCUUUUGGUAAACCAAAAACCUGCAGAUUCAGAGCUUUGAGGCUGAACUUGCAGUACCAGAGCUUGCUUCUACGGAAGGUGGUCCUCAAGUAUUUCGUGGAGUUUUCAUCCGUGCUCCCGCUAUCCUUGAUGUAGGACCAGAAGUUGAAGUUCUGGCUGGUUAUCCUGUUCCAUCUAAUAAGGUGGUAGAUUCAAAUUCUGCGGUUGAAGCUCAAAAGGUUUGUGGUUUUUCUUCUGUCCAUAAAUUUUUUACUGGUUAUACUGUUAUGUUUUAAUGCAGUUGAAAAGAAGUUUCAUUUUAAUCAUUCGAAUAAAUGUUGAGGAUAUUACCUUUCUCUUGUGCAGUAAGUAGUUAAAUAUCAAUUUACCAUAGGCUAAACCCCAAAAACUCCCCCACCAAGACCAAGGCUGUUUUGCCUUGCGAAAGUCACUAAUCUUGAGGAUGCCCUCAAUGUGUUGGACGAAAUGUUUCAAACGUGUCCUCUGCCUUCCGUUGUCCUCUGCCUUCCGUUGUCCUCAAUGUGUUGCGAAAGUCACUAAUCUUGCAAACCUAACCUAAUUAUUUUUAGUCUUUGUAAGGAUACUUUAAUUAUUGAUGCACUGAACCUCUUUGAUUCACGGAGUUUGCAAAUAAGGUGGGAGUGGAAAGAAUCUACAGGAUUGUCGAAUGAAAUGGUGAGCAAAAAUACCUCUCCAAAUGUGCUUACUUUCAAUAUCCUGGUUGACAACCUUUGUAAGGAGGGGUUGGUCAAGGAAGAAAAAAACGUGGUCAAAAUGAUUACUCGAAGAGAUAUUGAACCUAAUACAGUUACUUAUCGUACUCUUAGGCUAUUUCCAACCCAACAUUAUAAUUUGUCAAACUUCUGUACUUUUUUGCUAAUAAUUUUGGAUUUUGGAUUUUUUUUAUUAAUCUAUCUUGUUUUAUUUUUAGGAACAUUUUGAUGUAAAAAAAAAUUCAUAUUCUGAAUAAAAAGUGUGGAGAUAUUUUUAGUUGGAUGGGUAUUUUGAAGGUAAUUUUAUUUGAACCCAUAUAAUCUCUUUCUACACCCAACUUACUCUUUUCACCCGUAUUAACUUUAAUUAAACCAUCAAUAUCUCUUUAAACCAUAUUUACUACCUAAAUUACCCUCACAAACCUAAUUCAACUGGUAGAUUUAUCUGUACACUCAUUUAGAAAUAAAAACCCAAAAUUUGCAAAGAGAAGUGCAUUUCAAGUUAGGACUACGAAAAAAGUGGACAAAUGAUUAAUCCAAACAAUAUGAUCUCCUUGCAAUCAUAUUGCAAAAGAGCUUGUCACACUAGUUUAGGGGUUUUUUUGUUUGUUCCAAAUGGUAUGAAUCUGAAUUCUAAAUGCCAUUGUUUAUUUAUUCUUAUUUUUCUUCCCGCUUUGGUUUAAGUUGAAGUCCUCUCUCUUGUUGUGACUAGUGGCGAAGC